GCUAGCACUCUCCUCUGCUCCAUGAAAAUGUGCAUGAUGAGAUAAUGCAUACACCCCUUCAAGGAUCUGUUACUACAUAGUUUCCUGUACACCAGACCAUAAACUGGAUUAAUUGACAACAUAACUUUUCAAGUGUCUGCACACCUCAUUCCUCUUGGUCGUGAGACAAGAACUCAGAACUUGCUGAAAUGCAGAAGUGAAAGAGCAGUAUCACUCCAUCCUGCUGAACUACGGGAGUGAAGAAGCCACAGUAGGACUUUACUAGAAGUGAGGAUUGGAGAACAGAAUCUUUCCAAAAGGAACACCUCGAAUACUCACUUCAUCAAGUCUCUGCAGACCAAAACCCAUCUCUGCUAACCAUACCCAUCUUAAAGAUACAGGAACAACUGCCAUGUUGUGGAGAGAGCAGAAAACAGCAGGCAAUCUCCCAGCCCUGAGAAUGGCCUCCUCUUCCCAACAGCCAGCAGGAAGGCUGGAAUCUCAGUCCUACGACCAAAAGAAACUCUAUUCUAACAGGCCAAAUCAGUCUGGAAGAAGAUCUUAAGCUUCAGCUCACAGAUUCUCUGCCUGUGUCGUAUGGCUAUUGCCAGGGGAUGAACGAGGGUUGCUCUUCGCAAUUCAAGACUGUCUUUCCUACCCUCUUCAGUGCCUCUUGAUGUUAAAACCAGGUGGAAGGAUGAAUCCAAUUCCUGUUAUAUCAUUUUGGCCAGUAAAGAAAACUAACACAAGAACAGAAAACCAAACAUCGCAUGUUCUCACUCAUAAGUGGGAGUUGAACAAUGAGAACACUUGGCCCCCGGGAGGGUGGACAUCCCACACUGGGGCCUGUCGGGGGGUGGGGGGCUAGGGGAGGGAUAGCAUUAGGAGAAAUACCUAAUGUAUAUGACGGGUUGAUGGGUGCAGCAAACCACCAUGGCACGUGUAUACCUAUGUAACAAACCUGCACGUCCUGCACAUGUACCCCAGAACUUAAAAUAUAAUAAAAAAAGAAGGCACAACUUUUAUUUUUUUUAGCAUUUCUUUUGUAAGCAUGUGUUUUAUAUACUUUAUGCUAUGCAGACAUUAGUCAGUGUUUUUAGCAACUUCCAGAAAAUACAUGAGGAGAGUGUACUUUUGAAGCUAAAAUACAUGGCUUCAAUUAUGUUUUGAAAUGAAAGACUUUUGUUGUAAAAUUGUUGAAUUCUUCAUUAAAUGACUCGGGUUUUAAGACAGCUGUAAUAAUAACUAACAUUACAUUACUAAUGUGAUUAUGAUCUUCCUGUGUAUUACAAACUAUAUUUCAUGCUGGGUGAUGGGACUUAGGGCUUACUGUGAGAUGAUUCUAGCUUCAUAGCCCAGAUUGCUGGUUAUUAGACUCCAGCUCAUACGGCAUCACUCUUUCUUAUUCUUAGCAAGAACAUGGACAAGUUUUCAUUUUCAGUGUACCUUCCUCACCCUACAGAACGGUUGAGAGGUUAUAUCUUAGGCCUGUUAAAAUCAUGGUUGCUUUCAGCCGGGCCAGUGGCUUAUGCCUGUAAUCCCACCACCUUGGAAGGCUGAGGCGGGAGGAUCAUGAGGUCAGGAGAUCGAGA
rnacentral:lncRNA from 1 species